rnacentral:tRNA from 1 species
GCCACCGUAGCACAGCUGGUAGUGCAGCCGAUUCGUAAUCGGCAGGUCAUCGGUUCAAAUCCGAUCGGUGGCU